GAAGUCGGCCCUGCCCGGCGGUGUCAUACUAAGCGGUUGCAGUGAAUAACUGUGCUAAGGUAGCGCAAUCAAUUGUCCUUUAAUUCGAGGAAUGGAAUGAAAGGGUUGACGAGGGGAAAGCUGUCUCUGUAAUAUAGACUGAAGUUUUCUUUUAGGUGAAAAGACCUAGGUUUGAAAAUAAGACGAGAAGACCCCGGCGAGCUUGAUUAAAGCUCUUAAUAAUUAAAAGUUUGAAGUUUUGUUGGGGUAACACAAAGGGAAAGCAACUCCUUUGAAAGUGAUGAGGAUCCACCUCAGGGUGAAUAAAGCAAAAGCUACCGCGGGGAUAACAGCGUAAUUUUCUUAUAGAGUUCAUAUCGAAGAGAAAGAUUGCGACCUCGAUGUUGGAUUAAGGUUCCCUCUUGGUGUAGGAGU
rnacentral:rRNA from 1 species